rnacentral:rRNA from 1 species
UACGUAGGGGCCGAGCGUUGUCCGGAGUUACUGGGCGUAAAGCGCGCGCAGGCGGUCCCCUAAGCCCGGCGUGAAAGCCCCCGGCUCAACCGGGGAGGGUCGUCGGGGACUGGGGGACUUGAGGACGGCAGGGGCCGGUGGAAUCCCCGGUGUAGUGGUGAAAUGCGUAGAGAUCGGGGGGAACACCCGUGGCGAAGGCGGCCGGCUGGGCCGGACCUGACGCUGAGGCGCGAAGGCGUGGGGAGCGAACGGGAUUAGAAACCCCCGUAGUCC